rnacentral:rRNA from 1 species
GAUGAACGCUGACAGAAUGCUUAACACAUGCAAGUCUUUGGCGAAGCUGUGCUUGCACAGCCUAGCCAAGGCGGACGGGUGAGUAACGCGUAAGGAACUUGCCCUGCAGUCAGGGAUAACAGACGGAAACGACUGAUAAGACCUGGUAAAAUCAGGCGGACUCAUGUCCAGCCUGAUGAAAAGAGAUGCUGCAGGAGAGCCUUGCGUCCUAUUAGCUUGUUGGUGGGGUAACGGCCCACCAAGGCGAUGAUAGGUAGCCGGCCUGAGAGGGUGGACGGCCACAAGGGGACUGAGAUACGGCCAUUACUCCUACGGGAGGCAGCAGUGGGGAAUAUUGGACAAUGGGGGCAACCCUGAUCCAGCAAUUCUGUGUGCACGAUGAAGGUUUUCGGAUUGUAAAGUGAUUUCAGCAGGGAAGAAAAAAAUGACGGUACCUGCAGAAGAAGCGACGGCUAAAUACGUG